rnacentral:rRNA from 1 species
UGGGGAAUUUUGGACAAUGGGGGCAACCCUGAUCCAGCAAUGCCGCGUGAGUGAAGAAGGCCUUCGGGUUGUAAAGCUCUUUUGUCAGGGAAGAAACAGCAGCUCUAACACAGUCUGCGAAUGACGGUACCUGAAGAAUAAGCACCGGCUAACUACGUGCCAGCAGCCGCGGUAAUACGUAGGGUGCAAGCGUUAAUCGGAAUUACUGGGCGUAAAGCGUGCGCAGGCGGUUAUGUAAGACAGGCGUGAAAUCCCCGGGCUUAACCUGGGAAUUGCGCUUGUGACUGCAUAGCUAGAGUAUGUCAGAGGGGGGUAGAAUUCCACGUGUAGCAGUGAAAUGCGUAGAGAUGUGGAGGAAUACCAAUGGCGAAGGCAGCCCCCUGGG